GCCUUCUUAGCUCAGCUGGUAGAGCAACUCAUUCGUAAUGAGUAGGUCGCAGGUUCGAAUCCCGUAGAAGGCU
rnacentral:tRNA from 1 species